CCUCGAGCCACCCAAACUCUCGAGAAAAAACAGACGCCAAGAGCGGAAAGAAACGACCUCCUUCCUUCCUUCCCCAGCCAUCUCCUCCUCUCCUGCCUGCGCGUGCGCAUUUUCACACUAAACCCCCAAUCCAACCUGCCGCGGCUCGUCGCAGAUCGGCAGAGCAGUCCACCGCCUCCGCGGAGGUGGUGAUCAUUCUUUUAUCAGGAGGUGUACAUCUGCUUGGCCUCUGGCAGUAGCUGCAGUUACCAACAGUCGAGAGUUCUCAUGGCCAGGUCUCAUGAGACGACGAGUAGGAAACCUCCUGGCCUCCGGUUAUUCAAAGGUGCCAAGGCUCUAAGAAAUUACCAGACGUUCGUCUUGGUCCUUACAUUCUUGGCAUACACUUGCUUCCAUAUGACUCGGAAGAUAACAAGCAUUGUCAAGAGUGAGCUUGAUCCCCAGACCAAAGUGGGGUCUGCCUGGGGACGAUUGCACACACGCAACAGUCUCAACAUUGGUUGGUCUCCAUUUAACACCGCUGAUGGUUCCACUUUGCUUGGUGAGAUAGAUGUCGCAUUCCUUGCGGUGUAUUCUCUUGGGAUGUUCUUCGCCGGGCAUCUUGGUGACCGCAUGGACUUGAGGAUUGUUCUAACAAUUGGCAUGAUUAGCACUGCCAUAUUCACUGCGCUCUUUGGUGCUGGAUAUUGGCUAAAUAUUCACAACUUCUACUACUUUCUGGUCUUUCAGAUGAUUGCUGGCUUAUUUCAAUCAUCUGGAUGGCCUUCAGUCGUUGCAGUUGUUGGUAACUGGUUUGGGAAGAGCAAGAGGGGAUUGAUUAUGGGUAUAUGGAACGCACAUACUUCUAUUGGAAACAUAUCCGGUUCGCUGCUUGCUGCAUCUCUGCUGAAAUUUGGAUGGGGGUGGUCAUUUGCCAUCCCCAGCAUCAUCAUGGCUCUUGCUGGGUUGGUGGUGUUCUUUUUCUUGCCGGUUAGUCCUGAUGUAAUGGAGAUAGAUAUUGAUGAUGGGGAGGUAAACUCAGACAAGGAUACUGCGAAGGAGCCCCUUUUGGAACCAGGCCAAGAAGUGAAACAUAAGGCAAUAGGAUUCCUGGAGGCAUGGAGGAUUCCUGGAGUUGCACCGUUUGCUCUCUGCCUCUUCUUCUCCAAGCUGGUUGCAUACACCUUCCUGUACUGGCUACCUUUUUACAUCAGCCAUACACCUAUUGGCAACGAGUACCUCUCUGAUGCGAUGGCUGGCAGCUUGUCAACAGUCUUCGAUGUUGGAGGUGUGUUGGGAGGAGUCCUUGCCGGUCAUAUCUCUGAUCGCUUAAAUGCACGAGCUAUCACGGCCGCGAGCUUCAUGUACUGUGCCAUACCUGCCCUUUUCUUGUACAGAACAUAUGGAAGCAUGUCGAUGAUGUCGAACAUUUGCCUCAUGUUCAUCACUGGCAUGUUUGUCAAUGGUCCUUAUGCCCUGAUCACAACUGCAGUGUCAGCUGACCUUGGCACUCACAGCUCAUUGAAUGGUAAUUCUCGGGCACUGGCCACUGUGACAGCAAUCAUCGAUGGGACCGGGUCGGUUGGUGCCGCAAUCGGGCCAUUGCUCACAGGAUACAUCUCAACAGAGAGCUGGAGUGCCGUGUUCACGAUGUUGAUGGCAGCAGCACUUCUUGCUGGGCUCCUCUUGACACAUCUUGUCUGUGCUGAGCUAAGAGGAAAGCUGUCUUCCAAUGUGAGCAAGGUUGUCGCCAAUGCACAAACUACCUGCUCAGAUCAAGUAUAAGAUUGUCCUUCGAUCUCAAAGAAAUUCACUAGGCAUGAGAAAAGAAGUUGGAAUUGAAAGAUUUCUGAUCUGUGGAUCGUCUCUUGUAUGAUCUUCUAUAGUUCUCCCCAAAUUUCUUGUUGCGGUUGUCCCUCCUUCCCUCUCUGCAAGCAUCUCCCUCAAAUCUCUCUUGAUCUGGCUUGGUAAUGACGAUACAUUUACAGCUGUACUUCCUAGAUUACAAACUUCAUAGGAUUUUGGGAUACUUUUAUUACUCCCAUGUUGAGGAAAUGAAUUGAUUUUGAUAAAAUUGAUGAUGUCUUCCUAGCUGUUCCCAACCAGACCAAUAGACUGCGAAACAACAAUGAGGAGAAGAAGGCCUUUUUGCAUCGGUGAGAUGUUGAACUAUGGAUAGGGCCGUGUGUAUGUUGCUUCAGUGUGUAGUCAUCUGUAUGAUAGGCAGUGUGUAUUUUGGUUCAGUUGUUUCUGUAUAAUCUGUAGUUGACAGGUGCUACUAUAAUUCCUAGGUUUUAUUACUGUAAUUCCAAGGUUUUCUUACUGUAAUUUCAAAGUUUACCACGUGCUUGUCAUGAGUGCAAA